rnacentral:lncRNA from 1 species
GGAAUCUGUAGUAUUUCAAAUGAGGUCUCCAGGGUGGGCCUCCUGUAAUGGCACUGACGGUUUUAUAAGAGGAGGCAGAGGGACCUGUGCUGUCUUGGGACACUGAAGAGAGUCUCCACCACCACAAAGGCCUUUAUGGCUCCUUGACCUUGGGCCUCCAGAACCAUGAGCUGAAUAAACCUUGAUUUUUUAUAAUUUCCCUAGUUUUGGGAAUUCAGUAAUACCAGCAGAAAAUGGACAAAGACAGCAAGCUUCCAUGCAGCCUAGUGUCCACCUGAGGCCCACAGUGUUUUAACUUUGCAUACCACACUGUUAUGCUCAGAAAGGACUGGCCUCCCUGCUCCUCACAUCCUCCUGUACAGUCAUGGAGUGAAGAAACUUCUACUAGAGAAAGCCACCUGAGAAGGCCACAAAGCCUUCAGUUCAGAGGUGCCCUCCCUCUGCUGAGAGGAACAGAAUGUCUCUGUCUCUGCUGACACAGGGACAUCGAGAAGAACCUGAACAAACCGGCCAGGGAAGAUCCCUCAGUCUUGUCACCCUCUUUGUCCAGUCCCACCUCUGAAUGUCUGUUUCUUUGGAUUCCAUUUCUUUGGGGUUUUAUUUCUCUAGGCUCCCGAGUCACUUAUAUUAAACACCUGUGCCUUCUUUUCUCACAUGGCAGUCCCGGAACAGCAGGGAGAGCAGCAGAGAAUGGGUGCAUUGUGGAUUAAUACACUACAAAAAGGGCUGGAGGCAUUGCAGGGUGGUGGUGGUGGCAUCUGGGGGUGGGCACAGAGACGGGGCUGGAUUCCCACAGCAGAAAG